GCCCUUGUAGCUCAGUCGGUAGAGCACCUCCAUGGUAAGGAGGGGGUCAUCGGUUCAAGUCCGAUCGAGGGCUCUA
rnacentral:tRNA from 1 species